rnacentral:lncRNA from 1 species
UUUCUUCUUCCUUUCCCAUCUCACAUUUCUUCAUCUCCAUGGGAGCCUCCCUUAAAGCUUCCAUAACUUUCUCUCUCUAGCUUCAAUUUUCAUGCUUUUAAGCACUUUUUCAUAGAACCUUUUGUGCUCUUUCACUCUCUCAUCUUAAAAUCCUUAAAAGUCUUACUUCCAUCUUCGUCUCACUAGCUGGACAUGUAGAGAGAGAGAGAGAGAGAGAGAGAGAGAGAGAGUGUGUGAGUGAUUUCUUUUGUUAGCUUGAAGAAUUUUGAAAGAGAAUUCAACUACAAAGACCAUCAAGGUGAGUAUAAGUUAAGGUUAAAUUUCUUUAGUUGUUGAUAAUGGCUAACAAUGGGGUUUGUGAGUGUUUUAUCAUUGAGGUUGUUUAUUCACUCUUAAGGUGACUACAGUAGUGUGAAGAACUAGCCAUUUAAUGGCAAUUGGAAGCUAGUUAGGAAUAACUAGUAGAACUUGAUUAGGAAAGAGCUUUUGGAAUUAUAUUAAUGCCAAUUUAGGUUGGUUGUGAUGUUGUGUGUGUAUAGGUUCCAACAAGGCCUCACAUGUCCAUUUGGAGCAUUAGUUGAGGUUAGAGUCAAGCAAAAGAAUUAACAAGACCGGUGAGUGAACUUGCAUUUCAAAAUUGUUUUGAGAAUAUGAAUGUAUUUGCACAAAACAUUUGAAUGAUUUUAUCCAACUUUUCUUAAAAAAAUGGGUGCCUUGGGAAUAAGCCCUUGAUAAAUUAUUUUGAUGGGGUGAAAUGUGAAAAGAAAAAAAAAGGAAAGUCCAUGUGCUCCUCCAUUUUUGUUGAUAUAUAUAAGUAUAUGUUGUGCCUUGAUAAAUAAUAAUUAUGUGAUGAUGAUGACCCGACUUUGUGCGAGUAGGGAGUGCACAUAAGCCGAUGAUGACCCGGCUAUGUGCGAGUAGGGAGUGCACAUGAGCUGAUGAUGUUGAAAUGUGCGAGUAGGGAGUGCACAUGGCAGUGAAUGGAGUGGGAUGGUGUACUUGUUGGUAUAUGUUUAUAGAUGUAUAUGUGAUAUCAAUUUUAUGAUUAUAAUAUGUGAUUGUUUUGAAUGUUGAUAACUUGAUUAUUGUCAAUGUGUUCACUUUGAUGUGCAAUAUGGUAGGGAUGGAUUUUGUGGCAUGUGAAAACCCCUUAAUUGUCAUCUACCCUAAAUCUCGCUACAGCAAGAAACUCUCGGGUUUUGAGGGUCACCCUGGCCUGGUUCUCGUUGCAGCGAGAAUAAAUCUCCCUGCAACGAGAAACUCUCGGGUAAACCCAAAAUUCUAGUGCAGUAUUUCCAAUUUGACAAUGAUUUUGACCACCUUUCAUUCAGAACUGGGAAUAGUGGUAAACAUAAAAGUUGUAGUCCUGCCUCUUAUAUUUCUAAUGGUCUAAAAAUCAGGUCAAUUGGACUUCUGUAGUGGGAGAUAUGCUUGAAAAAAGAAGCAAACUGAGAUUGUUUCUCGCUGCAGCGAGAAACUUGCUGUCCUGUUUUCUACCUUGCUUGAUUUUGACAUAUUUUUCACCCAUUUAACUUCAUGGAUUGAUCAUGGGUUUUUGCAACACUAUGAGGUUAUUGAUCAAAGUUUGAAUGAGGGCUUUUUAGUAAGAAAUUAAAUUAAUUACAUUGUUUUUGAAACAAGUGCAUCAUGAUUUCCAAAUUCCUUCUAUUAAUUGCUUGUUCCCUUCUUAUGUUCACUCACUGAGUUUUAUACUCACAUUUUUAAACUUCAUGUUUUCAGAUUCGAAGACAGUUGGGACCUAGAUUGAGUGUCCACAAAUGCUCGUCCUCUUGGUAGGUACUAUGGCAUCUCAGUAACUGUAUCUUCACCCUGAGUCACUCUGCUGACGGUCAAAAGUCUUAUGCUUGUGUACAUGUAUAAGGAAUGAAGACCACUAAGAUUCAUGUUAAAAAUCAAAUAUGUAUAUUUGAUUACUGAUGCCACUGUAAGGUGGCAAAUGAGUGAUACUAUGUUAGCAUAAUACAAAUGUGAAUAUUGGAUUGCUAUAAAAUGUUACUGAAAUAUUUAUAAUUGAGAAUUACAAUAUGUGGUUUUAGAAA